GCUUGUCUCAAAGAUUAAGCCAUGCAUGUCUCAGUAUAAGCUUGUGCAUAGUGAAACUGCGAACGGCUCAUUAUAACAGUUAUAAUUUGUUUGGUGUUCAAGUUUACAUGGGUAACUGUGGCAAUUCUAGAGCUAAUACAUGCGAAAAGUCGGCGCAAGUCGAUGUAUUUAUUAGAUACAGAAUCAAUACGUGUUCUGCACGUUCUAUUGAUGAAUCAUAAUAACUGUUCGAAUCGCACGGGCAACCGGCGAUAGUUCAUUCAAAUUUCUGCCCUAUCAGCUUUCGACGGUAGUGUAGUGGACUACCGUGGCGUUAACGGGUAACGGAGAAUUAGGGUUCGAUUCCGGAGAGGGAGCCUGAGAAACGGCUACCACAUCCAAGGAAGGCAGCAGG
rnacentral:rRNA from 1 species